CCUACGGGAGGCAGCAGUAAGGAAUAUUGGGCAAUGGAGGCAACUCUGACCCAGCCAUGCCGCGUGGAGGAUGAAGGCCCUCUGGGUUGUAAACUUCUUUUACCUGGGACGAAACCUCCUUUUUCUAAGGGAGUUGACGGUACCAGGGGAAUAAGCACCGGCUAACUCCGUGCCAGCAGCCGCGGUAAU
rnacentral:rRNA from 1 species